rnacentral:rRNA from 1 species
GAUCCUGGCUCAGGACGAACGCUGGCGGCGCGCCUAACACAUGCAAGUCGAACGAGCGAGAGAGAGCUUGCUUUCUCAAGCGAGUGGCGAACGGGUGAGUAACGCGUGAGGAACCUGCCUCAAAGAGGGGGGACAAACAGUUGGAAACGACUGCGUAAUACCGCAUAAGCCCACGGGUCGGCAUCGACCAGAGGGAAAAGGAGCAAUCCGCUUUGAGAUGGGACCUCGCGUCCGAUUAG